AACGAACGCUGGCGGCAGGCUUAACACAUGCAAGUCGAACGCCCCGCAAGGGGAGUGGCAGACGGGUGAGUAACGCGUGGGAAUCUACCCAUCCCUACGGAACAACUCCGGGAAACUGGAGCUAAUACCGUAUACGCCCUACGGGGGAAAGAUUUAUCGGGGAUGGAUGAGCCCGCGUUGGAUUAGCUAGUUGGUGGGGUAAAGGCCUACCAAGGCGACGAUCCAUAGCUGGUCUGAGAGGAUGAUCAGCCACAUUGGGACUGAGACAGGGCCUAAGCUCCUACGGGAGGCAGCAGUGGGGACUAUUGGACAUUGGGCGCUAGCCUGAUCCAGCCAUGCCGCGUGAGUGAUGAAGGUCUUAGGAUUGUAAAGCUCUUUCACCGGUGAAGAUAAUGACGGUAACCGGAGAAGAAGCCCCGGCUAACUUCGUGCCAGCAGCCGCCGUAAAAC
rnacentral:rRNA from 1 species